rnacentral:misc_RNA from 1 species
GAUGAAGAACGUAGCGAAAUGCGAUAAGUAGUGUGAAUUGCAGAAUUCAGUGAAUCAUCGAAUCUUUGAACGCACAUUGCGCCCCUUGGUAUCCCGAGGGGCAUGCCUGUUCGAGCGUCAUUUCACCACUCAAGCCUGGCUUGGUGUUGGGCGACGUCCCCUUUAGGGACGCGCCUCGAAACGCUCGGCGGCGUGGCACCGGCUUUAAGCGUAGCAGAAUCUUUCGCUUUGGAAGUCGGGGCCCCGCCUGCCGGAAUACCUACUCGUAAGGUUGACCUCGGAUCAGGCAGGGAUACCCGCUGAACUUAAGCAUAUCAAUAAGCGGAG